rnacentral:rRNA from 1 species
GAUGAACGCUGGCGGCGUGGAUAAGGCAUGCAAGUCGAACGGCAGCACGGGAGCAAUCCUGGUGGCGAGUGGCGAACGGGUGAGUAAAGCAUCGGAACGUGCCCAGUCGUUGGGGAUAACGUAGCGAAAGCUACGCUAAUACCGCAUACGAUCUAUGGAUGAAAGCGGGGGACCGUAAGGCCUCGCGCGAUUGGAGCGGCCGAUGUCAGAUUAGGUAGUUGGUGAGGUAAAGGCUCACCAAGCCGACGAUCUGUAGCUGGUCUGAGAGGACGACCAGCCACACUGGGACUGAGACACGGCCCAGACUCCUACGGGAGGCAGCAGUGGGGAAUAUUGGACAAUGGGCGAAAGCCUGAUCCAGCCAUGCCGCGUGUGUGAAGAAGGUCUUCGGAUUGUAAAGCACUUUAAGUUGGGAGGAAGGGUUGUUAGCUAAUAUCUAGCAGUCUUGACGUUACCAACAGAAUAAGCACCGGCUAACUCUGUGCCAGCCGCCGCCGUAA